UCCAGCGUAGCUCUGUCGGUAAAGCAUCUGCCUGCAACGCGGGAGACCUGGGUUCAAUUCCUGGAUCGGGAA
rnacentral:tRNA from 1 species